GCUGAUAAUAUCCCCUUCUAUUUCACCAUCACUCUGAACAAUAGAUUAAAGAUAUCUAAAACGUGUACUCUUAUUAAUGACUUGAUCGCCCAAAUAGUUAAAACAAAAUAAUUAUUUUCCAUGGCUAAGUUUUCCUGAUCCUCCAAUUUGGCUGUUUUUUCGUUGAGGACAUUUGAACAUUUAAAAAAACAUAAGUUGUUAUUCAAGUAUUAACAGUUUAAUGUUUUAACUUGUUAAUAUGGAGAAUUAUUUGAUAGUUAAGUAAAUCUUAUAUAGAAAUUAAGUGCCAUUUACUUACCCAAGUGCCAUUUAUCUGGCUAUUUACAAAUUGCAAGUACGUCCUGAUGGUAUCAAUUCUGCAUAGAAAUGCUUUGCAUCUGCAUGUCAAAUGAAGUACCAUUUGCAUCUGCAUUCAUAUAAGGAAUUCUUUACAAGGAUCAUUUGGUUGCUUGAAGUUGGAAAAUAUGCUUCUACUAAAGUAACACUGAUGAAAUGGUUUUAAUUUCAUGCAUAAAAUAAGUGAAAAUAACAUUAUCAUUUCUAUGAUCAUCUUCUUCAUGAUAUCUUUGAUAAUGUGUGGUAGCGUUUCUCAUGACCAUAGUUGUUGAAAUUGGGUUAAAUGGAUUUAUGCUUAAUCCUAAACCUCCUAUGUUACGGUGAUCCAUCAUUCUCUACAUAAAGGAUUUGUUAUUAUUUUUUUAGGUUUUAAUGGUGUUUGAGGAGGAUGAUGUUGACAGUGGAAGCUCUCAUGGGUUUUUGUGCACACCUUAAAUCCCGGGGAUGGGUAAAAUCCCGGAUUUAAGGAUUUACGGCUUAAAUCCUGGAUUUACUAAAUCCCUCAUUUCGGCGGAUUUAUGGGAUUUUGCCAAAGAAGUGCGCGAAAGGGAGAGUUUCCAUCACAGCCAGCUGUUUCUGAUUAAAAUGUUGGAACUUAUAUGUGAACAUGAUCAGGUGAUCCAUCAACCUUUUUUUAUGGAAUUUCCUGUUGAAUUUUUGUCCAUAUGAUCUGUAUGGUGGCUCUUUGUGUAGAGAUGAUGCUUGAAUCGGUGUAAUAUUGUAAUGUAUCAUUAUUAAAAGGUAGAAAAUAACAUUGCAUUA